GCCAGACUCCUACGGGAGGCAGCAGUGAGGAAUAUUGGUCAAUGGGCGAGAGCCUGAACCAGCCAAGUCGCGUGAGGGAAGACGGUCCUACGGAUUGUAAACCUCUUUUGCCGGGGAGCAACGGGGUCCUUGCGAGGGCCCGAUGAGAGUACCCGGAGAAAAAGCAUCGGCUAACUCCGUGCCAGCAGCCGCGGUAAUACGGAGGAUGCGAGCGUUAUCCGGAUUUAUUGGGUUUAAAGGGUGCGUAGGCGGGCUGUUAAGUCAGCGGUCAAAUGUCGGGGCUCAACCCCGUCGUGCCGUUGAAACUGAUGUUCUUGAGUGGGCGAGAAGUAUGCGGAAUGCGUGGUGUAGCGGUGAAAUGCAUAGAUAUCACGCAGAACUCCGAUUGCGAAGGCAGCAUACCGGCGCCCAACUGACGCUGAAGCACGAAAGCGUGGGUAUCGAACAGGAUUAGAUACCCUGGUA
rnacentral:rRNA from 1 species